CUUGAAACACGGACCAAGGAGUUUAUUGUAUGUGCGAGUCAUUAAGUGAUCAAAACUUAUUGGCGUAAUGAAAGUAAACCCUGGGUGCAGGGGCUGCGGUGGGAACUCUCUGUGGGGAGGGCACCAUCGACCGAUCGCCCUAUCUAAAUCAUUUAUGAUUGAGUAGAGAUAGAGUAUACAUAAUGCGACCCGAAAGAUGGUGAACUAUGCCUGAGCAGGAUGAAGUCAGAGGAAACUCUGAUGGAAGUCCGAAGCGGUUCUGACGUGCAAAUCGAUCGUCUGACUUGGGUAUAGGGGCGAAAGACUAAUCGAACCAUC
rnacentral:rRNA from 1 species